rnacentral:rRNA from 1 species
ACUCAAAGGAAUUGACGGGGGCCCGCACAAGCGGUGGAGCAUGUGGUUUAAUUCGAUGCUACGCGAAGAACCUUACCUACCCUUGACAUCCAGCGAAGACGGAAGAGAUUCUGUUGUGCCGAAAGGAACGCUGAGACAGGUGCUGCAUGGCUGUCGUCAGCUCGUGUUGUGAGAUGUUGGGUUAAGUCCCGUAACGAGCGCAACCCUUAUCCUUAGUUGCCAUCAUUUAGUUGGGGACUCUAAGGAGACUGCCGGUGAUGAACCGGAGGAAGGCGAGGACGACGUCAAGUCAUCAUGGCCUUUAUGGGUAGGGCUACACACGUGCUACAAUGGCCGGUACAAAGGGCAGCGAGACUGCGAAGUUAAGCGAAUCCCAGAAAGCCGGUCGUAGUCCGGAUUGGAGUCUGCAACUCGACUCCAUGAAGUCGGAAUCGCUAGUAAUCGCGAAUCAGAAUGUCGCGGUGAAUACGUUCCCGGGCCUUGUACACACCGCCCGU